UCCCAGUUCGGAUCGCAGGCUGCAACCCGCCUGCGUGAAGUUGGAAUCGCUAGUAAUCGCGGAUCAGCAUGCCGCGGUGAAUACGUUCCCGGGCCUUGUACACACCGCCCGUCACACCAUGAGAGUCGGGAACACCCGAAGUCCGUAGCCUAACCGCAAGGGGGGCGCGGCCGAAGGUGGGUUCGAUAAUUGGGGUGAAGUCGUAACAAGGUACC
rnacentral:rRNA from 1 species